rnacentral:lncRNA from 1 species
CCUUUCCCUUCUCUUCUUCUCCUCUUCUUCAUCCCUUCUCCUCCCCGACGUCACACACACCCUCUCCUCUGUUUCCUCUGCAGGAAACAUAGGUAUCACAACCUCUUCUCCUGCUUCCUCUUCUUCUUCUCUUCCUCUUCUUCUUCUCCUCUUCGAACGCCCCACACCUCUCCUCUGUUUCCAUCUGCAGGAAACAGAAGUGCUGCAGCCCUAGCUGCUGCCACCUCUCACUCCUCUCCCUCUUCCCUCUCUUUUCCCUCUUCUUCUCCCUCUCUUCUUCUCCUCUUCCCUUUUCCUCCCCAACGCCACACAUCUCAUCGCUGCAGUCUUGCCGCAGCUAUCCUCCUCUCUUCUUCUCUUCUCCCUCUUCUUCCUCUACCUCUCUUCUUCUU